rnacentral:lncRNA from 1 species
CGAUUCCUCAAGGAUCUAGAACUAGAAUUACUGUUUGACCCAGCAAUCCCAUUACUGGGUAUAUACCCAAAGAAUUAUAAAUCAUGCUGCUAUAAAGACACAUGCACAUGUAUGUUUAUUGCAGCACUAUUCACAAUAGCAAAGACUUGGAACCAACCCAAAUGUCCAUCAAUGAUAGACUGGAUUAAGAAAAUGUGGCACAUAUACACCAUGGAAUACUAUGCAGCCAUAAAAAAGGAUGAGUUCGUGUCCUUUGCAGGGACAUGGAUGAAGCUGGAAACCAUCAUUCUGAGCAAACUAUCACAAGAACAGAAAAAAAACACUGUAUGUUCUCUCUAAUAGGUGGGCAUUGAACAAUGAGAUCACUUGGACACAGGGCAGGGAACAUCCACACACCAGGG